rnacentral:rRNA from 1 species
CAGUCGCCGCGGGAAUACGUAGGUGGCAAGCGUUGUCCGGAAUUAUUGGGCGUAAAGGGCUCGCAGGCGGUUUCUUAAGUCUGAUGUGAAAGCCCCCGGCUCAACCGGGGAGGGUCGUUGGAAACUGGGAAACUUGAGUGCAGAAGAGGAGAGUGGAAUUCCACGUGUAGCGGUGAAAUGCGUAGAGAUGUGGAGGAACACCAGUGGCGAAGGCGACUCUCUGGUCUGUAACUGACGCUGAGGAGCGAAAGCGUGGGGAGCGAACAGGAUUAGAUACCCGAGUAGUCCCUGUCUCUUAUAC